AGGAGGAACAGCCCCAGUGGCAGGGCAGCUCUGGAAACCUGGAUUCAGCUCCGGCAGGAACUCCGUCUGCAGGGCCUGGAGGCUCCGGGGCGGG
rfam:Canis lupus familiaris chromosome 5, whole genome shotgun sequence.